rnacentral:rRNA from 1 species
GUAGGUGGCAAGCGUUGUCCGGAAUUAUUGGGCGUAAAGCGCGCGCAGGCGGUUCUUUAAGUCUGAUGUGAAAGCCCACGGGCUCAACCGUGGAGGGUCAUUGGAAACUGGAGAACUUGAGUACAGAAGAGGAAAGCGGAAUUUCACGUGUAGCGGUGAAAUGCGUAGAGAUGUGGAGGAACACCAGUGGCGAAGGCGGCUUUCUGGUCUGUAACUGACGCUGAGGCGCGAAAGCGUGGGGAGCAAACAGGAUUAGAUACCCUGGUAGUCCACGCCGUAAACGAUGAGUGCUAAGUGUUAGGGGGUUUCCGCCCCUUAGUGCUGCAGCUAACGCAUUUAGCACUCCGCCUGGGGAGUACGGCCGCAAGGCUG